AUCAGAAGAGCAAUUCACUCGUGCUCCUCUCACAAAAUUGGAGAAAAAGAAAAUGAAACAUCUAAAGAAGUCACGAAAUGGGUUGCUUGGCCUGACUGAGAGUUUCUAUGAUGAGAUGAAGACUUUACCUUUUGAAGAAGGUGUUUCCGAUCGAAAGGACUUGGGAAGUUGUGGUACUAUUGAAAGAAAGCAGAAGAAAUGCAAGAGAAAGAACUAACCAACUUGAAGAUACUGGACCAACAGAUUUCACUCGAGGAAUGGUUAAAUGUCUCUUCAAAUGGUUUAUCAAGCAGGAAUUGCUUUGGCAAUGGCAAGUUUUUUUUUUUCCUCCA